UGAAAAGAAGAGCUAAAUCUAGAAAUAGAGGUAGCUGUUAGUUAUUUUGUGCUCCCUGAGUUUUCGCAUGUCCGUAACCGAAACGACAUUUUCUCCUAUUAUCAAUUAUCAUAUCCUCCUUUUUCAUUUCUAUUUCCAUUCUUCAAUCUUGAUCCCAAACACACGCGCCAAUACUACAAAUAAAUGAAUAAGAGAUGGCAUGAGGUUGAUCCUCUUCUGUUGUAAACGUUAGAUAUCAUUACUCAUCAUCAGAAGGUUAUCCAUCGAUUUCUAUCUCUUUUGCACAUCAACUGUUUGUUAAUAUGCUUCAUAUAUAUUCUCAAUAGUUUUUUGAUCUCACAUGCAAUUUGAUUGAAUUAGUUUCUUAUUAGCCUGAAUGCCUUAGUUAGUUGCGUUUUGUAUGAUCAGCAUUGGUUUCUGUAGUUCUGUUAGAGAAUUGAUCGUGCUUACUGACUUGUUCGUAGAAUAUGGAUGGAUAUAGAUUGAUCUCCCAUGUUUGAAACAUCUUUUCCAGCUAAUCUGUCUUGUUUCUGUUUGGAGAUUUAAUGCGAAUAUGUCGAGUUUCGUGGGCGUAAUCGUCUCUGAUCCUUGGCUUCAGAGCCAAUUCACUCAAGUUGAGCUGCGAGGCCUUAAAUCUAAGUUUCUCUCAGCAAAGAACCAAUCUGGAAAUGUUACAUUCGCAGAUUUGCCACCAGUAUUGACAAAAUUGAAGGGGGUCACUGAAUUGACAGAAAAUGAGAUCACGGACAUCUUAAAGGAGUCAUCUCCUGAUUUAAACGAAGAAGUUGAUUUUGAAUCCUUCCUUCGGCAUUAUUUGGACCUGCAAGCUCAGGCCUCAGCUAAAGUGGGUGGUCCCAAACCUCAAUCGUCGUUUCUCAAAGCAACUACAACUACACUACACCACACAAUUAGUGAAUCCGAAAAGUCUUCCUAUGUCGCCCACAUCAACAACUAUCUUGGAGAAGAUCCAUUCUUGAAGGAUUAUCUCCCCCUAGAUCCAGCUAGCGAUGAUAUCUUCGAAUUGGCAAAGGAUGGUGUUCUUCUAUGUAAACUCAUAAAUGUAGCUGUACCUAAUACUAUAGAUGAGCGAGCCAUCAAUACUAAGAAGGUUCUAAAUCCAUGGGAGAGGAACGAGAACCAUAACCUUUGCCUCAAUUCUGCAAAGGCAAUUGGGUGCACAGUGGUCAACAUUGGCACACAGGACCUAAUUGAAGCAAGACCUCAUUUAGUCGUUGGGUUGAUGUCUCAAAUAAUCAAGAUACAAUUGCUAUCUGAUCUUGAUUUAAAGAAGACGCCUCAACUUGUUGAGCUGGUGGAGGAUUCCAAGGAUGUAGAGGAGCUUAUGGGAUUAGCCCCAGAGAAAGUUCUUCUCAAAUGGAUGAACUUUCAUCUGAAGAGAGCAGGAUUUGAGAAGCAGGUUACAAAUUUUUCCUCAGAUUUGAAGGAUGGAGAAGCUUAUGCUCACUUGCUCAAUGCACUCGCCCCAGAACUUGGCACAAACUCAACAUUAGAAACAACAGAUCCCACUGAAAGAGCAAAAUUGAUUAUUGAGCAAGCUGAAAAGCUAGAUUGUAAAAGAUAUGUUACUCCAAAGGACAUUGUUGAGGGAUCAGCAAAUCUAAAUCUUGCAUUCGUUGCUCAAAUAUUUCAACACAGAAAUGGACUAUCAGUGGACCAGUCAAAUAUACCUUUUGCUGAUAUGAUGGAAGAUGAUGCUCAAACUUCACGUGAAGAGCGAUGCUUCCGGCUGUGGAUUAACAGCCUUGGGAUUGAAACCCACGUCAACAAUUUAUUUGACACUGUCAGGGGAGGAUGGGUUCUACUGGAAGUACUUGAAAAAGCUUCUCCUGGGUCUGUUAACUGGAAACAAGCUUCAAAAUCUGCCAUUAAUAUGCCUUUCAAGAAACUUGAGAAUUGCAACCAAGUUGUGAGUAUUGGAAAGGAUUUGAAUUUCUCCCUGGUGAAUAUAGCUGGAAAUGAUAUUGCGCAGGGAAACAAGAAGCUCAUAAUUGCUUUUCUGUGGCAGUUAAUGAGAUUUAGCAUGCUCAACCUGUUGAAAAACUUGAGACAGCAUUCCCAGGGAAAGGAAAUUGGAGAUGCUGACAUACUGAAUUGGGCAAACGAGAAAGUCAAGAGAUCUGGUAGAAGUUCCCAAAUGGAAAGCUUCAAGGAUAAAAACCUCGCAACUGGGAGAUUCUUUCUCGAACUUUUAAGUUCCGUGGAGCCAAGGGUGGUGAACUGGGCCCUAGUAACGAAGGGCACAACUGAUGAAGAUAAGAAAUCAAAUGCAACAUAUAUUAUCAGUGUCGCUCGAAAGCUUGGAUGCUCCAUAUUCUUAUUGCCUGAGGAUAUAAUUGAGGUGAACCAGAAGAUGAUCCUGACCUUGACAGCAAGUAUCAUGUAUUGGAGCCUGCAGAAGAAGGUGGGAGAUCUUGAGCCUCUGUCUCCUAGUCAGCAAUCUGAGCCUCCGUCUCCUAGUCAGCAAUCUGAGCCUCCGUCUCCUAGUCUGAGCAAUAACGAAUCACCACCGUCUCCGAGAGAUGAUGAUGGCUAGUCUGCAUCAAGUACUGGCGUUCGACAAGAAGUAAUUAGCGGUUAAUAGUCGUUUUCACAAACUGGGAAUUCAACUGGGUCUAGCACAGUUGAAAUUUAUAUGGAGUGGAGAGUUGAGAUCUAGGUUCUGGUAGGAAAAUUCAUGGUAGAGUAAGCAAGAAGGUGGAGGGUCCUCUUGAGAGACUGGAGCUCUGUCUCAAGAUUCUGGAUUCUGAAGGCAGUGGACUCAUAGCUUUUGUUGUGGCCAGGUGGCAUGGACAUGUGUUGAG